GUCUUCGUGGUGUAGUGGUUAUCACGUGUCCUUCACAUCAAUGUUAACGGACAAGGCCCUCGGUUCGACCCCGAGCGAGGACA